rnacentral:lncRNA from 1 species
GCCGGCCUCCUCCUCUGCUUGUUGUCCGGGCUCCAAAGAAGUUCUGGGCUAUUGAGGGGUUCGCUCUAACUUCACCUUUUUCCGCAGAGAAAAAGGGAAUUUCCUCGAUGCCCCUGUUGUCCUCUUUUGAUAUAAAUGGGAGUGGCGCCGGCGCUCAGCUUGUUGUUCCUUUUGGUGUGAAGUACCAGUAUUAUUAUUCCCUUUGGUGUGAAGUACCAGUAUUACGUGAGACUGGGAUCUGCUGCACUCAGUCA